rnacentral:pre_miRNA from 1 species
AGUUUUUUGAAUCCGUGUUGAGAUUUCAUCAGACAUCAACAUAUUAGGACUGAUCAAACUUCCAAGAUAAGUGAAGUU